rnacentral:tRNA from 1 species
GUUCUCGUAGUUGAAUUACAACGGUGGUUUUUCAAGUCAUUAGUCUUGGUUAGAGUCCGAGCGGGAAUU